UAAGACCACUGAUAAUACCUUCCCUGUAGAA
rnacentral:piRNA from 1 species